CAACACGUCGCACCCAAUGCCUUUGCACUCGUAACGGGUGCCUCGGCCGUUGGGGCGGAGAUUGGCCUCCCGUGAGCCUGCCGGCGCGCGGUUGGCCUAAAGAGGGAGAUCAUGGCGACGAGGGCCACGGCGUUAGGUGGUUGGUUGUCCCGGGCUUUAUCCCGGGCACGGAUCACGYCGUGUGCCUUAGGCCGUCCGUGCUUCUCGUAGGGCCUCGAAGAAGCCGCUCGAACGGCUUUACGGAU
rnacentral:misc_RNA from 1 species